rnacentral:misc_RNA from 1 species
GAAAUGCGAUAACUAGUGUGAAUUGCAGAAUUCCGUGAAUCAUCGAGUCUUUGAACGCACAUUGCGCCCCCUGGUAUUCCGGGGGGCAUGCCUGUCCGAGCGUCAUUGCUGCCCAUCAAGCACGGCUUGUGUGUUGGGUCGUCGUCCCCUCUCCGGGGGGGACGGGCCCCAAAGGUAGCGGCGGCACCGCGUCCGAUCCUCGAGCGUAUGGGGCUUUGUCACCCGCUCUGUAGGCCCGGCCGGCGCUUGCCGAACGCAAAUCAAUCUUUUUCCAGGUUGACCUCGGAUCAGGUAGGGAUACCCGCUGAACUUAAGC